AGCCCGAGAGAGUUCUGGCGAGGGCUGCGGGAAGGAAAGGGGGCGGCGUCCUUCACAGGGAGGGUGCAGCUGACCUCCCUCCCCUUGUGCAGACUGGAAAAGAAUGGCCCAGAUCCUCUGGACUCCUCAGAUGAGCGGAUUCAGAGAGAAGCUUUUGAGAGCGUGCUGGCGGAGACAUUUUUCACAAAAGAGCCCUUGCGGUGCUGGUGUCCGUGGCGUGCCUGGGUGGAAAAUGAGCUUAUAUAUGAAGAAGUCAGCGAGUGGACAAAGCCAGGCGCAAUGGAUAGCAAAGAUGUGGAAGUCUCCUCGAUUCAAGUUACAAGAAAACCGCAGCAUGGAGUCUGCUCUCAGCUGUUGGGGAAUUACCGAUGCCUUUGACUAAGUCAAGACUGACUUUUCCAGAAUAUCACCCAAGAGAUAGAGCCGUCCCUGUCCAAGUUUGUGCGCUAGCCCUUCAUGGAGGUCAGAGAGGAAGAAACAAAGGCAGCUGUGGCCUCGGCGGUCACAGUGUCAGAACGCACAAGCCCCAUAAAGAGGUUUCACGCAGGCCACCCAUCCCUUUUCAUUCUCCAGCAGAACAGGACAGAGAGCGUUCUGUUCUGCGGAAGGUCUUCCACUCUACAAGGCAAUCCCUCCAGCUGCUUUGCUGUAUUGUGCUGUCUCCUGUCACACUAUGAAUGCAGUGACCUCAGCCAGCAACAGGGAGAACCCCCCUGCCUCCCGAACAAAGGACCUCACGUGAAAUCCUGAGCUCAGAGCUUACAGAUAUGUGUGCGCUUUCACUUUACAUCGGCCGUGACUUCCAAACAACUUCAGGAAACUUUAGGAUCUCUGAGGUAUACUGGAGAUGACAGCAGCGUAGAAUGUUCAUUUGGAUUUAGAACAGAAAUGCUUAUUUUAUAUUUGGCUGCUCCCAAACUGUCCCCAGACUUCCUCUCCAGUGGUUACCCUCCACUGCCCUGGAUGUCCCACGUUUACACUCCACACUCACACCUCCACCUUAACAAAGUCCUCCACUGGGUCAAACCAUACAUCGCUUCGUCUCUGUAGUGAUGACUUCCUGUCCUCUGCUCUGUGGAUAAAGACCCCAGAUAAAGAUGCCUGUGUUGCUCAACUCUUGUAAAUACUCUUGAGACAUUUUGAAAGCAGAAGGAAAGGAGACAGACGGGGAAAAUAAAAGGGAUGGUCUGCUUGUGCGGAAACGUUUUGAGAAUGCCCUUCCCUAAGAGAGAACAGUAAAAGUGAGCAAUACUUCCUGAGCUGUGGGUUCAUAUGGCUGGACUGUGCUGUUUCUCACGGGAGAAGUUCUCGUCUCCCCUGCGUGUACAUCCCUGUUUGCCAGCCUGGCCUUCGGUGUGGUGAUAUCAUGGUGCACUCCCAGGAGGGAAGUGCUUGGUCAAGACUUCUGCUUGGGUUCGACUAUCAGUUCUGGUUUCCUUUAAGGCACAGGAUCUUCCCUUUAAGGCACAAACACCCCCUUGACACAAAGUAAGGGACAAGGGAACUUUAAACCAUUUGGAAACCCAAGCACAAUAGGCUGUAGGUUGUAAAAAGAAAUUACAAAGCCUGGACUUCGGUGUGGUGAUAUCAUGGUGCAUUCCCAGGAGGGAAGUGCUUGGUCAAGACUUCUGCUUGGGUUCGACUGUCGGUUCUGGUUUCACAUGCACUGUGUGAACACGCUUCAUACAGAGGGUCAGCACCGCACUGUGUGAACAUGCUUCAUGCAGAGAGCCUGUACUGCACCAGGUGAACACACUUCAUACAGAGAGUCAGCACCGCACCGUGUGAACAUGCUUCAUACAGAGAGUCAGCACCGCACUGUGUGAACACGCUUCAUACAGAGAGUCAGCACCGCACCGUGUGAACACACUUCAUACAGAGAGUCAGUACUGCACCGUGUGAACAUGCUUCAUACAGAAGAUCAGCACCUCACUGUGUGAACACACUUCAUACAGAAGGUCAGCAAUGCACCGUGUGAACACACUUCAUACAGAGAGUCAGCACUGCACUGUGUGAACAUGCUUCAUACAGAAGAUCAGCACCUCACUGCGUGAACAUGUGUUAUACAGAGAGUCAGCACCGCACCGCGUGAACAUCCUUCAUACAGGUCAGCACUGCACCAUGUGAACACACUUCAAACAGAGAGUCAGUACUGCACCAUGUGAACAUGCUUCAUACAGAAGAUCAGCACCUCACUCUGUGAACAUGUGUCAUACAGAAGGUCAGCACUGCACUGUGUGAACACGCUUCAUACAGAAGGUCAGCACCGCAUUGUGUGAACAUGUGUCAUACAGAGAGUCAGCACCGCACCGUGUGAACACGCUUCAUACAGAGGGUCAGCACCGCAUUGUGUGAACAUGCUUCAUACAUGAGGUCAGCACCUCAUUGUGUGAACACACUUCAUACAGAGUCAGCACUGCACUACGUGAACAUGCUUCAUACAGAGGGUCAGCACCUCACUGUGUGAACAUGUGUCAUACAGAGAGUCAGCACUGCACCGUGUGAACAUGCUUCAUACAGAGGGUCGGGUCAGCACCGCACUGUGUGAACAUGCUUCAUGCAGAGAGUCUGUCCUGCACCAGGUGAACACGCUUCAUACAGAGAGUCAGCACCGCACCGUGUGAACACGCUUCAUACAGAGGGUCAGCACCGCACUGUGUGAACACACUUCACACAGAGGGUCUGUACCACAUUCCGUCAACAUGUGUCAGCACCAUACCAUGUGAACACGCUUGGUACAGUGAUAUACAUGCAUGUGGCAGAGCUGUGAAAUUAUGACCUGCUGCAGACAGACUUUGUACACUGUGCUAUCAGCCAACUGGGCAAAUGUGGACAAGAGUCCCUGCAUGUCUCUAUUCACCAGGUGUCUGUCAAAUGAAAUGGGCUGAACUGGAUAAUGGCAGGUCUGACCCAUGAUUACUGCCUGUAAGAGCUGAGUUAUCCCAGAGUGUAGGCGUGGGAUAUUAAAAUAUAUAUAUAUGCAAAUAUAUUUGGGCUGGGUUUGGUGGGUCAUGCCUGUAAUCCAGCACUUUGGGAGGCUCAGGCAGGCGGAUAACCUGAGGCCAGGAAUUCAAGACCAGCCUGGCCAACAUGGUGAAACCCCGUCUCUACAAAAAAAUACAAAAAAUUGGCCAGGCACGGUGGCUCACGCCUAUAAUCCCAACACUUUGGGAGGCCGAGGUGGGCAGAUCACCUGAGGUCAGGAGUUUGAGACCAGGCUGGCCAACAUAUAGUGAAACCCCAACUCUACUAAAAAAAUACAAAAAUUAACUGGGAGUGGUGGCAAACGUCUGUGGUCCCAGCUACUUGGGAAGCUGAGGCAGGAGAAUCGCUCAAACCCGGGAGGUGGAGGUUGCAGUGAGCCGAGAUACCGCCACUCCACUCCAGCCUGGGUGACAGAUCAAGACUCCAUCUCUCAAAAAAACAAGAACAAAAACAAAAAACAACAACUUAGCCGGACGUGGUGGUGGGUGCCUGUAAUCUCAGCUACUCAGGAGGCUGAGGCACAAGAAUCCCUUGAACCUGGGAGGUG
ensembl:lncRNA SERPINB9P1 serpin family B member 9 pseudogene 1